GUAAAAUCAUGAGUUUCUGAGCACUGCCUUUCAUACAUUCCUGUAACCAUAUAUAUGAAGCUUAAUUAAUGUGAAGCUAAAUGUUUUCAGGCAUGGAACUUGUGGAAUGAAGGCAGGGGACUGGAGUUACUGGACGAAGUAUUAGGUGAUUCAUAUGCAUCGUCAGAAGUAAUGAAAUGUGUAAAUAUUGGGCUUCUUUGUGUACAGGACAGUGCUGCUGAUAGACCAACUAUGGCUGAUAUAGUUUUGAUGCUAAGUAGUGACACGGAUGGUCCAGAACCCAAGCUGCCUGUAUUCACUAUCCAGAACUCAUUCUCAUCUCCUCAACCUCAAUAUCCAAAUACCUUCUGCUCAAAUGAUGCUACCAUUACAGUGAUCGAAGGACGAUAAGCCCUUGCAGAAUGCUCAUCAGAAUGUAUAGCGCAGCUUGUUGUGUAAUUGAAAGGAAAAGCUAUUGUGUUUUAUCAGUGAAUGACUUCAUAUGGGUCACCGGAAUUAUGAGUAGCCUAUAGGCUUAUGUAGCAUGAAUCUGUUGAUGCAAGAUUGCCAGUUGGCUAUCCAUGUCUUCGGUGCUCCUCAAAAAAGAUUUAAAAGAAAUUAUGAAAUUCCCAACUUCUAUAUGUCAAUAAAAGUGUGUUUUCUUGGAACCAUUUUGGUGGAUUGACUUCUUUGCAUAUAAUCUGGGUCUCUAUCAGGGUAUAAUGUGAAAGUGACCAGAGAAAUAGUGAGAUGGAAACAUAAUCAGUAGUGUGCUGGUAUAAUGUUAAGAGAGUAUUAUGGAUGCAUCCAUAUGAAAUUACCAUUCUUUAGUUACUUUUUCCUCAAAGCUCUUUCCACUUGUUAUAUAUUAUCAACUGUUGGAUUUUUAAGUGCUCAAUUCAACUGGUUAUAGAGUACUAAUAUAUGUAUCCUGGAUUAUUUUCAAGUGCACAAUUCAACUUGCUAUAUAACAAGUUCUCCAAAAAAAAAAACUUGUUGUUCAAAUGAUCUCCAAAUUGGAUGAAAUUUUGCAUGAAUGAUCUACAGACUAUGUUCUAGACAUUGAAUUGUGGAGAUAUAAAAAUGUGACCUAAAAGUGAGCGAAAUGAUGAACACCAAACUUUAAUUUCAAAGCGGUGUCAAAUAUAUAUCAGUUCUUAUCCAGAGCGAAGUUUCGUUAUGAAAUUAAGUGUGAAAUUCCCUAUUUGACUCACUUUUAGGUCAUAUUUUCAUAUUUCAAUCGUUAAGUUUAUUAAUAUUAAUGUAUAGAUCAUUUAUGCAACAUUUCACCGUAUAUUACAUAUUUCCACCCAAUUUUAUCAUAUAUUAUAAUCAUCUAUAUGAAUAAUAAAAUAAUGAAUAGUUUAUACAAAAUGACACUUGGAGACGAUUAGAAAGAGAACCAAAGACCUAAAGAUAAUAAUUAAUGAACGUGUCGAUAAUCCUAGCCUAACCCACUUGGGUGAAAACUUCACCGGUUUAACCAUGGUGGCCCGGUGUCCAAUCUUGAUCCGGUGCAUUGCAACCCUAAGGGUUUCUUCAGACAUGUUAGCAAAGCACAUUCUGAACCAACCUGGCUCAAUGCAGUGGCAAGACGCACCGGGGGAAAUGUUUAACCCGACUACACAAACCACUUUCUCCCAAAGCUCCUUCUCAGAUUCAAAGGUGUUAGCCCUCAAUAGGUGUCUCAUGUCCACCCAACAAAACAACCCUGCAUUGCUUUCCAAGCACGCGAAGCCGAAGUUUUUCAGCUCGGAAACGAGCAUUUCCUUCCUCUUCAUGAGCCUCUCCUUGUUCUCAGUCACGUACUUUGUUGCAAAUUUAUUGUCAGACAACAUUUGGGAGAGUAAGUACUGAGUUUGAGAAGAGAUGAGACCAAAGCUCGACAUUUUAGUUGCAGCGGAAACCACCGCCGGAUUGUUGGAGUAGAUCAUGCCAAUUCGGAAUCCUGGGAGGCCAAAGUCCUUAGAGAGAGAAUAGACAAUGUGGACACGGUUCCACAUUUCAGUGUUCUCCAGCUUUCGCUGCAUCAAAGCUUCUAUAAUGCUCACGAAGCUUGUGGUGUCGAACACUGUGCCUGCGUAUACCUCGUCGCUUAUUAUGUGAAUGUGGUUUUUUGCGACGAAAUCGAUGAUGUGGUCUAGCUCCGCCACAGUCAUGGUGGUGCCAAGAGGGUUUGAAGGAUUAGUGAAUAAUACCCCCUUGACUUUUAGGUUAAGCUUUUGGGCGCGCUCGUAUGCUUCUUCUAGUGCGGCGGCAGUGAUUUUGAACCCGUUCGAACUUGUGCAUUGUAUCGGAACAAUCUCGGCUCCGGUACGCCACUUGAGAUCUCUAUCAAAUCUGUAAGACAAAAAAAAAGUUUAUAAAUAAUUUGUUGGCUUAAGUUUUAUUUACAUGACAUGCAUGCACAAAAAAAUGUUAUUACAUAUGCAUACGUACGUACCCCGGGUAGUAUGGAGUGGGAAGGAGGAUGGCUUCGCCGGGAUCAGCCAAGCAAAACAUAAGAGUCUCAUUGGCGGAAGUUGCACCGGCGGUGAGUACCAGGUUGUCUGCGUCCAGCUUCACUUUGUUGCCUCUCAUUUUAUCCAUCAUUUCUACCAGUACCUGUAAUGAAUGUAACAGUGAGUUGGUUAAUACUAGUUCCUAUUAGAUAGUAGAUGAUUAAUUAGAUAGGUAAUUACUUUCUUGAAAUCGGGCAACCCGUGAUAGUCUUGAAAGAGAGCGAGGUCUCUGAAGAUGGAUUCCCCGUUUGUUUUGAGCCCCGCCGCGUCUGGGUUGCUUGCAAGCCACGACUCCACUAGGUCAAGCGAAAGCUGCAAACAAGUGUGUUCAUGACCAUCAGUACGUAUAGUCUGGAAGUUCAGUGCUUGCUGCUUAAUCAAAACUAAUCAAUACUACUCAAGUGAAGUGUACAGUACUGAUCGACCUACUUAGACCACGUACGUCACAUAUUUUUCUUCUACUUUCAAGGCUAGAAUGAGAACUACGAACCUAGCUAGCUAGCUAACCUGAUUCUCUGCAAGUCCCAUCUGGAUGAUUCCGGUGGGAUUUUUAACUUGAUCAUACGGGUUCUUCUCGUAUUCUUCCCACCCUAGGAAGUAUGACGAGUCCUGGCCAUGAGAGUCGCAGCUAGCUUUCUUUGACAACAUUUUCAAGCAAUUAAUUAAACAGAUCGAUCAAGAGCUUUUUGAUUAUGAAAGAGCGAGAGAGAGAGAGAGGGAGAGAGAGGAGCGGAGAGAGCUAGAUGUAGAUAGAGAAGGUUUUGUAAGUAGCUCAGUUUGGUUUGUGGAAAAUGUAGGUAAGGCUGCAUGGAUAUAUAUAGGUGCUGCUGCUUCAACUCCGACAUUUUGAAUUAUUGAUCGACGGUGCACUCUAAAUCGUUUGACUUAGCUUAAACAAACACAUAUGAGUUGGACCUCAUCUGAUGAGUCUUAAUUUAUCUUAAUUCUACUCGUUACUUAUAACUAAGCACUGCAUAUUUGUACUAAGUUUCCUAGUUAAGAGCUUCAUUAAUUUGUUAUAUAUUACCAAGGACUAGUUGCCUUUCAAGAUUUCGUCAUAUAUGUCAGUGGCGGAUUUAGGAUCCGAAGAUGGGAUGGGCUAUGUAUUAGGCUGUUUCGUGUUUUUGUAUGUUGGGCGAAGGCCAAAAUUUUUUUAGGGUAUAACUAUGCAAAAAUGUAGGAUUGGAAGAACUAAAUAAAUAUUACUGAAACAAACAUAACAAAUUACUAUCAAACUUGUGCCGGUGUGCAAAAAAAUGGUUAGAAAAGGAGAGCCAAGCACUUCAAAAAUUCAGUCCUUGAAAGCUCGGAUGGGCUUAACAAAGUCAAACAUACACAUUUGCAAGAACAAAAAGAGCUUAUAUUUAGAUUUUUUUUAUCAUCCUAAAUUCUCAGUGGAACUUGAGCCAACCAAGCAUACACUUGGCUCCGCCUUUGAUAUAUGUACGUAUAUAACGUACACUAUAACAUGCAUGCAUGCAUUUCAAAUAAUUAACUAUCAACUAAUGGAAAAUGCAGAAAAUGAUCGACUUCUAUUUAUUACAAGUUUGGCUAGCUUUAAUAAUCUUGCAUAUUAUAAUAGAAGGCUCAAGUGCAAAAGAAGAAUCACGUAUUACACCUCAUAUACACAUGGUAUCUCGAUCACCAUUAGUCUUAGAGAAGUUUCUCCAAAUUAUACUUGGCAAAAGUACUUACCGUCAGUGUUGUAGGGUUAGAACAGGCUCACAAACUUUUUACCAAUAUGUCCAAUCCUAGCUAAUAAAGUUUAUGGGUUCCUAGCUAAUUAAGUAACUUUUUUAGGUGAAAAUCAUGAGUAACAGUCAGUUCCAACAGGUAUCAAUUUCCGAAACAAAUUAAUCAACCAACUUAGUAGGAAACAAUUAAGUUACCAUUUGGUGUGCUUAAAGGAGGAAAAUGCAUGACGUACAAGCUGACUCAAAGCAAAACGCUAGCCCUACCUAGCCCACUUCAGUUGGAUGUUCUCCAAUAAUUAACUGUCUGCACUGCUCAAUGGGAGCAUGACAAAAUGAUCGAUCAUGACAAGAAAGUGAAGAAGAGACAGUGAGAAAAUGGUCGACAGGAAAUGAUCGAUCGAGGGUGAGAAAAUGGUGAUCUGCUGGAUGUUCUCCAUUAACUUUCUGCAGUGCUUUGACAAACAACCUACGGACCCCCGGGGUCUCUGGCUUUGGGAUCCAACACCUGUGCAAGCAGCCAUAAUCUGAAACUUUCUCCUAAUAUGUUGCUGGCCAUGGACCACCUUCAAGCUCUAGCUCUCUGGAUAUGAGACUAUGAGUUAAUAAUGCGAGCAUAUAUAAGCUUCAAAACCAGAUGAGAAAAUAUAAUCAGUACGUAGGGGAUGAUGAUGCAUGUCAGGUCGUGUGGGAGUACACAUGAUGCAGUGACCACUAUUGUACCCUAGCCACACUGAUUGAUUCUAUGACUUUAAGUUUAGGGGCAACUGAAAAAGACCCUAGCCACACUCAGCUAGGUGCUGAAUAACUGAUGGCUGGGAUAUCGAGCCAGCCAUAGAUGCAAGCAUGUUCAUCUGAAAGAUCAUGCAUCCCUUUGUAUUUGGAAGAUGAAAUUCGAUAGUUAAACUAUUAAUUGGUCUGUGGUUCUGUACAUAUGCAUGCCUGCGCUACCUCGAUCAAGUCAAGUAUAUGUGCAGUCAUGGAAGACGCAAGUCGUCUUCAUCUUUGUUUUAAUUUCACCAGGACAAGUCGAUCGUGCCGUAGCUUAUUGAUCGAGUUAAGGACCAAGGACUUCCACCAGCUGUCCUGCACCGGAAAAUCCACAGUUAACUAGGACAACAAUGUUGAAAUUUUGGCUCACCGGCCACCAAGAAGAUCCAAAUCCGCUUUAGUUUGCAUUUCUGGGACAAAGAUGAAAACUACCAUCAAUAAUAUUUAGCAGUACGUGCAGUGUACAUUAUCAUCUUGACAAAUGAAACUGAACUCUAGCUUUUUUCUUUUUUCUCAGUACUUGGUGUAUACAACCUCUUCAUGUGCUUGCUUUUGCUGAUUUAAUUGCCACAUCAACAUAGAUACAUCAUCAUUUGCUUUAAUCGAUUUACUGGACUGUGAAUGAUACGACGGGUAAUUGUACAUCUCUUUUUCACCGAGUAACAACAGUUGCAUAUGAAACGUUUGGACCUAAACCCAUAACUCCCGUAUUAAAAAAUUUGGAGACAGGGGACCUUGUUUUGCACUUUCUUUCGGUUUUUGUUAAGUGCUAGUAACCAGUAAGCAACCGAAGUAAGCCAAUAAGUAAACUUAUGUUAAACACAAUGUGUUCUGAAUUUGUAGCAUAUGCAUGGUAACAUACUUAUAAUAUACUAUUUCCAAGUAGUCGGUGAAUAUUGUUCAUACAUUGUUCGUCGAUAGCAAAAAUUACCGUUUUACCUCCGCUUUUCUAAUGAUUUAUGGCUAUGCUAUGCUUGUGUAAUGAUCAUUAAUCUGUCCUUAGUGUUUGAUAAUUUACAAAACUCCCAUGCUCUUUCUAAUAGUUGUAAAACAUCUAAGCAAAUAAAAACAACUUAAAUCCAAGCAGAGAAUCCGGAUCCUUAUAUAUAUAUAUAUACACACACACAAAGCCCUUCCAUUGAGGGAUCCCUAUUUUUGGCCACUUUUAGAGAUAUAUAGGCCCACACAAUUAGAUCUGUCAUUUAAUGAGGUUGGAUGACUGAGAUUAAAACAAAAAGUUACACACUUUAUAUCAAACCUGGACCAAGAUCAUUAAAAAUAAAUCGAAGUUUUGAAUGGGUUAACGAUCACUAAAUUAUCUGAAAAUUUAUAAAAAUGAUCUACUCAUAUAACUCAAUGAAUUAAACGGUGUAGAUGCAAAAAUUUGAUCAGAAAGUUGAUAUAAUACUCUAUCUCUAGAAAUAAUCAAAAAUAUAGAUCCCUGAAUAGAAGGGCUCUCUAUAUAUAUAUUCGACUCUCUUGGGCACAUCUUGAAGAAGUUGGCGGGAAAGGCGGAAAGCUUCCCAAAUUGGAUGGACCACAUAAUCAAAGUGGGUGGAUUGGGCCCUAAGCGGGCUUGGGGAAGCCUUUUUUUGGCGGGCUGGGCGAAACCUAGGCAGGCUGGUACAGACUAUAAUCUUUGUUCUGGGAAUUUCCCACUCUCACUCCCCUUGAUUCAUUUGAGGUAUGUUGUAUUCUUGUUCACUACUGUAGUUCUAAUGAAUUGAUUAUGGACUUAUGGGUGAAUUUGGCAAUGGGAUUUUAUCUGAUUGUUGCCCACUGGACUCUUUUUGGCCUAUUUAUGAUCCUUACAAACAUCACAACAUUGGAAAAGCUAUCAAUCUUUUUCAUCAUCUGCUUCUCUAUUUGGUUUGAGCUAUUUUUCAUGAGAUAUCCGAAUCUUCUUUGUGCUGAAUUUACCAAUCAGAUGAUUCAAUUCUGGUUUUGGUGGAUUGACUUCUUUGCAUAUAAUCUGGGUCUCUAUCAGGGUAAGAAUAUCAUACAUUUACUUACUUCCUUCAAUCAAAGUGACCAGAGAUAUAGGCAUAUAGCUGUGCUGGUAUAAUGUUAAAGCUCAAGGUGUUCAUGUGCUUACUAGUGUUCGAUCUUUCACUGGGUAACCCACUUUCUUCCUUAAUUCUUGAGCUUUUUUGUUAUCCCUGAACCCAGAGAGUAUCAUGGAUAGAAUUACUAUUCUUUAGUUAAUUUUUCCCUUAAAACUCUUUGCUCUUGUUAUAUUUGCAACUUUUGGACGAUUUUUAUGUGCUCAAUUCAACUGGUUAUAGAGUAUGCCAUGGGUGGGAUAUUUUCCGAAAAGUCUGUGACCAACAGCUAGGCUUCCUUGCCUAUGUAAGUUUUUUAUACUCUAAAGUCUAAAUCCUAAUUUAAUAGUUGUUUACAGCUUUAACAGCAAUGUAUGGGACUAUUUCAGGCAUGGAACUUGUGGAAUGAAGGCUGGGCGUUGGAGUUGGUAGAUGAAGUAUUAGGUGAUAUAUAUUCCUCAUCAGAAGUAAUGACUUGAGUCCCCUGCUCUCACUUCCCUCUAACUCCUCUCAGGUAUUUUCAGUUCUUGUUUCAGUUAAUGUAAAUUGAGCAUUGCCAUAUUGAUUUUUUAAGUAAUUUCAGGUAGCAUAUUCCAGUUCUUAGUACCAUUUUUUUUAAUUCUUUUCCUUGCAUGUAAUCUGGGCCUCUCUCAAGAUGACAGUACAGUUAUUUUGCUUCCUUCACUUAAACUUCAAUUCUUUUCUUAAUUCUACAUCAUGUCCUUGGUUGAAAAUCUAAAAGCGACCAAAGAAGAUGGUGACAUGUGGACUGUAUCAAUGUCUGUUUCGUAACAAUGUUACAGCUCAAGGUAUUCACAGGCUUACUUGUGUGCAUCAGAGCCUGACACUCUUCUUGUUGGUUAUCUUUCGUCCCAACUAGCAUGUGAUUCCUAUACUCAUUAGCAUUUAUUUGAAUGAGUUAAUGGUAAUUGAAUUAUAUAUAUGUACGUAUGUAUGUAUAUAGAUCAGCUGCCCAUUUGAAUUGGUCAUUGAUAACUACAUUUACUGAGUCAAAUGAUCUCAACAAGUCAGCUUGCUCCAGUAUGAACCUAAGAAUUGUGUAUGCUUUGCUGAGACAGGAAUCCCGGGUUAUUCAAAGUUUCCUGGUCAUGAUUUUCAAAGGACUGACAGAACCUUCUACAUAGAAAAAAUUGAUAAAUUUCAUUUAGUGUAUUGAAAAUUCACAAGGAUAUGCUGUUAUAGUUGAAAAAUGGAAAUAAGCAUCCUGGGGUUGGUAGGAAAUCAACACCCUUGAUACAUAAAUAUUAUCAUCUUUAGUUAGUAAAGUUCUGCUUCUGAGUUCCACCAGAAACAGUUCAUAAUUGUCAUUAUUUUGAUGAUCUCGCUACUAAGAUGCCAAUAGGUGUUGAAACCAGUAGUGUUCGUGUUUUAAAUACUUACAUGUUCUUCCUAUUAAUCUUCAGCUUGCUUCCAUCACAAUAUUGGGCUGAAGUUUAUAAUGUUACUUCUUCACAGCCAUUGGCACAGGGACAAACUCUAGUUUCUCCUAGCCAAGUUUUUGAAUUGGGAUUCUUUAGUCCUAAUAGUUCUGCUAAUAUGUAUGUGGGGUUGUGGCACAAAAGUAUAUUUCCCCGUAAAAUUGUAUGGGUAGCUAACAGAGAAAACCCCCUUGCAGUUAAAGACACCUUGGCUACUUUGAGAAUCGGCAGCAAUGGAAAUCUGGAUCUUGUAGAUGGGAAGCAGAGUUCUGUAUGGUCAACCAAUGUUUCGGUGUCAACUAAUGGUUCGGCUGCAGUUCUUUUUGGACAGUGGAACCUNNNNNNNNNNNNNNNNNNNNAUAACCUACCUACCAGAAGAAACCCAGAGGCACACUUGAUCUCGAUAUCACCUCUACCUGUGAAAAUACCAACAAAAACACGCAAGAUAAAGCAAAGAAGGAGCAACCAAAAAACCAAAAACACCAAGAGCACCUCCUAUUUGAAACCCGAAAAAUACAAAUUAUAAAAGAUAAAAAAUUCUGGGAAGAACCAACGUUCUCCUCACCUUUCAAGACAACGAAGAGAACUAAACGAUGCAAGAGCGGAGGCAGUCUUUUGGGUAACGAACAAAGAGAACCUCCAAUAAACAAAGAGAUGCUGGGUUAAAGAAGAUGCAGAAGUAGACCGACAAUUUCGUGGAGACGGAUAAGGAAGCCACGUAUCACACCGCACAGAUGGUGUAACAGGCCAUCGACAGAUGGAGACUAAUGGCAGGAUCGUAAAUAAUCUCCAACAAAGGGCAAGAGCGUCUAUCUGCGCGUGGAAUGAACAGUACUACCUGCGUUUUGCUUUAAUAUAUAUAGAAAUAUAUAGUAAUAGUAAUGAGCUAGGGCUCCCAAGUUUUCAAUUAUUUCAUGAAACAUAGAAAUCUUAUGAAAUUUGGCACCCAGAGCAUUGCGUUGAAACUUACUCUGCCUUGUUUUCAGUCACCAGAUCAGUCCCAGUCCAAAGUGUAUUUCUAUCAAUAAGUUUAGUCCAUACAGUUUCAUGGAAGCCCUUCUAAUAAGAACUCUUAAGUUGAUGACUAGUUGAUGACUUUUUGGUUUAUCCCACUUUUCGAUCUUAUAUCCACAUCUUGACUGUUCAGUUUAUAGGUAUUUAUGAGUAGAUCAUUUCUGUAAAUUUUCAGCCAUAUUAAAAAUCUUUAAGACAUUCAUAAGUGUUAUUUACUAAUUAUGAACUUGAACAGUUCAUGUUUGACAGAUUUGGUUUGUCCAUUAAUUUGAUCUAGUUUGUUACCUUAACGAUAACCGAUUUGGCUGAAAAUUUGUAGGGCUGAUCUACAUAUAUAGACCUAAAAACUGAACGGAUGAGAUGCCAAGAUGUGAUAGAAAAAUAUGUAUUUUAAACUAUAAAUUGAAAAGUCUUCAGCUUAAGGUCCUCGAUCACUAGAAGGGCUCCAACAGUUUCAUUGUCGGGCAGAAUUUCCAAAUUAAUUUCAGCGUAGCUAUCACGACACGAAUCGUCAAUCCCAUUUUUUUUUUACAAAUAUCAUCAUCAUGUAUGGGGUCUCUUCUUUUUGUUUUGUUUUCGUUCAAGCUAGGGUGUGAGAAUUUAAGGUGUUGUAUGUUUAAGAUGUUCAACGAAUUGCUGGCUUCAAAUUAAACCGAGGGUAGAAGACUUGGACUUUGGAGUCGCUACUCCCUGCUAGUCGGUGUUUCUUGUGCCCACAGACUCACAGUGUAGUAAGUAUCAAACAAGUUCGUGUAUCUAGUCGAAAUGGAAGACUUGGACUUCUAAUUUGGUUUCAGACUAUGAAAGCACUGCCAGAUCAUUAUCAUAUACCUGGUCUACACUUGAUUAGUUCUUUGUGGCUUAGGUUCUUUCAGUAGCCAGUUAAGCAAUAUAUCGAUCACUUUGAAACAGAAUAUAAGUGAUAUUGUUCUUCUGCGAAUUGCAUUCAAGUUCGGAUGAAGCUUGGUAGUGUUACUUUGUUUUUCUUGUUCAUCUUCAGUUUGCUUCCGUCACAGUACUAUGGCGCCGAAGUAUAUAACAUAACUCCUUCACACCCUUUAGCAGAGGGACAAACUCUAGUAUCCCCUAACCAAAUAUUUGAGUUAGGCUUUUUCAGACCUUAUAGUUCUGCUCAUAAGUACGUGGGGUUGUGGCACAAAAGUAUAUUUCCUCGUAAAUAUGUAUGGGUGGCUAACAGAGAUAAUCCUCUUGCAGUUACAGAUACAUUGGCUACGUUGAGAAUUGGCAGCAAUGGGAAUCUGGAGCUCGUAGAUGGGAAACGAAGUUCUGUCUGGUCUACCAAUAUAUCUAACUGUUCAUCUGCAGCUCUCUUAGAUAGUGGGAACUUCGUCGUCAAAGAUGUUAUGGGAGGUGUUAUGUGGGAGAGUUUUACUAAUCCUAGUGACUCACUUCUACCAAAAAUGGCGUUGGGUUACGAUAGUGGUUCUGGAAAAAAGAAUUUCUUGAAAUCUUGGAGAAGUGAACAUGAUCCAUCACCGGGGUUAUUCUUGGCAGGACUGUCAGCAGAGUUGCCAGCACAACUUACCGUUUGGAGUAGUGGAUCGACUCGUCACUGGAGAAGCGGACCAUGGGAUACAUCAAAGUUUGUUGGAGUACCCACAAUGAACACUCUGGCUAUUAAUCCAUUUAGUCUUGAUGAUAAUGUGAAGAAGGGAACAAGGUAUUUCUCUUACAGUUUUGAUAAAAUUCCAGGUGACACAGUUCUUGCAUAUAUGGACAUAUCUUCAGAAGGUAGAAUGAGCUUCAUGUUUUCAGAAGGUGGCACAAACUGGGAUCCUCAGUGGUUGUCAUCGGAAAACUUAUGCGAUGAUUAUGGCGCAUGUGGACCUUUUGGGGUGUGUGAAGCUUCUGGCUCUCCAAUAUGCAAGUGUUUAAAAGGUUUUGUACCGAAAUCAAAUGAAGAAUGGAGCAAAGGAAACUGGACAGGAGGUUGUGUGAGACGAACUAGUUUGUCCUGUGAGACAAACACUACAAAAGGAAAGGGUGAUGGGUUUUUGAAGUUGAAAAGAAUGAAAGUACCCGAUUUUCAUAAAUUUCUGACUACUUUGGCAAUAGACAAGUUCGAGCAGUGCACGACACAGUGCCUGAGUAAUUGCUCUUGCCUAGCUUAUGCGUAUAUUGAUAACAUUGGGUGUUUGGUCUGGUACGAAGACCUUACAGAUAUGCAGCUUUUUCCAUCUUUUGGAGAUGAUCUUUAUGUCCGCUUAGCACACUCAGAACUAGGUAAACGAUUAUAGCUCUUGCUCAACUAGUACAUAACCACUAAUUUUCGUUUGUAUUGUAAAGUAGAUUUGGGUUUUUCUUAAUUUGCAGGUGAAGGAAAGCCGAUAGGGUUGAUUGCCAGUCUUGCAGCUAUUGGUUUUUUGAGUAUUUUGGUUGCUAUAGUCUUCAGUUUGCACCGAUGGCGUGCUAACAAAAAGCGUAAGAGAAUUUAUUGUUUACUGCCUCUUUAUCCAUGUCUUGCUUCUUGUUGAGUUCCAAUUUCCAACUCUGUGUUUGAGAGUUUUAUUGGCAAAAACAGGACACCUCGAACUCGAAGUAAAAGCUCCGCCCUUGGAGUCGACUAGUAUGCUUAAGAAAAAUAGAGACGGUCUUCGAGAAUAUAUAGGAAAGCAUGAUCCCUCGGAGCUAAAGAUAUACGAUUUUGAUAGCAUACUAAUCGCCACAGACAACUUCAGCUUCGCAAACAAACUCGGGCAAGGAGGCUUUGGCCCAGUUUACAAGGUAUUUUCUUUGCUAAGAAUUUAAGGAAAACAUAUAUAGCGGCUCAGAAGAUUCAAUACAUUGUUAUGCAUCAUGCAUGCAAUGACUAAUUUGUGGACAUUGUGUAGGGGAUGCUACCGGAAGGGAAGGAAAUAGCAGUAAAAAGACUAUCAAGUAGCUCCGGACAAGGUGUCGAAGAGUUCAAGAAUGAGAUGUUGUUGAUCUCCAAUCUUCAACACAAAAACCUUGUUAGGAUGAUGGGGUGUUGUGUUAAUGAGGAUGAGAAGUUACUGAUUUACGAGUUCAUGCCUAACAAAAGCCUGGAUACCUUUCUAUUUGGUUAGUUUCACUAUUGUUUUAGUUUACCUGCAGUACAUUACACAUCUUUACACACAUCUUUUUUUGUGAUGAAUUAUGAUAUGAACCUGUAUUAUGUCUCUAUCUGUUAACACUUCUAGCCUUUAAAUCUAGUUAAAUUUAAGGCUAGAACUAUAGUGAUUGUGAAUAUUGUUGUCAAAUAUGAAUUGCAUGAGAACUAAAACUGAAUCCAUUGAAUGCUUGAUUAGAUCCGACGAAGAGAGCAGUGCUUGAUUGGGCUACACGCUUUAAUAUUAUUCAGGGUGUUGCUAGAGGGCUUCUUUAUCUCCAUCAUGAUUCUUAUGUGAAGGUGAUACACAGAGAUUUGAAAGUCAGUAACAUUCUCUUGGAUGAGAAAAUGAAUCCAAAAAUCUCAGAUUUCGGAUUGGCACGCAUAGUUGAAGAAACAAAGGAUCGAGAUAAAACUGUGAAGGUUGUUGGAACACGGUGAGAAUCAGUUCUUAAGACCAGAAACCAAAAGAAGCAAAUUUAUUUCAGGUACGCAUGUACUAAUGUGUUAAAUGUUGCACUUGUGCAGUGGAUAUAUGUCUCCGGAGUAUGCCAUGGGUGGGAUAUUUUCCGAAAAAUCUGAUGUCUACAGCUUUGGAGUCUUGGUACUGGAGAUUAUUAGCGGCAAGAACAACAGCUUCUAUUUAUAUGACCAACAUCUUGGAUUCCUUGCUUAUGUAAGUUCAUAGGCUGUAAAUCCUAAUGUAAUCAUCGUCUACAUGUUUGGGGUCUUGACAAGUCUUAACAACAGUUAAUGGUUUAUUUUCAGGCAUGGAUGUUGUGGAAUGAAGGCAGCGGACUUGAGUUUGUAUCUGAUGUAUUGAGUAGUUCAUAUUCUUCAUAUGAAGUACUGAAAUGCAUGCAGAUAGGGCUUCUGUGUGUGCAAGACAGUGCUUCGGAUAGACCUACUAUGGCAGAUGUUGCUUUUAUGCUAAGUAGUGAGACGGAGGGUCCGCAGCCUAUGAGGCCUGUAUUCACUAUAGAAAACUCGGUUCUUCCUUCUCAACCACAUUGUGAAAACACUAAUUCCUCCACAAAUGAAGCUACUAUUACCGUGAUUGAAGGACGAUAAACGUUUUUCUUUUUCAAAGAAGAGAAGAAAAGAUUACAUACAAAAACACCUUGUAUAUCUUACUUGAAGUCGAAGGACGAUAAACGUUAGUAAACUGUUUGUAGCAUAAUCUCCAUUUAUAUACUCAAUAUUCGAAUGUAUUUAAUGAGUCUACAUGCUUUUAUAUGUCUUUAUUUUUUACAUUUCACUUUAUGCUUAUGAAUAGUUGAAUACGAUAACAAUGACCCCCCCCCCGACUCAAAUACGAGCGUGUUGAACACCUUAUAUUUUACUCAUUACACCCGGAAUUUAGAUUGGGCCCAAAUGUUGGCUCUUCUUGAAGGGCAUGCUUUGAAUCAAGAUGCAGCUGAUCUAUCAAGCUUAGGUCUGAUACUUGAUGAGGCUAAAGAGAUUAUGAAUAGACAUCUGAAAUUUAGAUUGAUUCAUACUCAGCGUGUCACAUCCCGACUCUUAUAUUUUUUACUUUAUUUACUAGCUUGAUUAUAAUAAGAAUUUUACCGUCUUCGUCAUUGAGGUAAUAGUUUAAUUGGUCCCUAGAGGUGUUUUAAGGGACGAUUAAUUUCGGGGAAUUAUUCGUGGGAGAAAUAUAUGACGACGAUAAAAAUGGUAAAUUUUAGCUAGUAAAAGGUAAUUUUUAUUCGGGUAUUAUUUUUUCGGGGUGUUUUAUUUUGGAUUUGGGUAGAAUAAGAAUGUUGGACCGGGCCAAGGGGUGGUCAAAGCCCAGCCCUCUUUUCUCUCUCUCUCUCCCUCCCGGUUUUCCCGCACCCGAACUCCCUCCUGCAGCCGAUCUUUCCGUCGCCGGCCAGCCGCCGUCCGGCCACCAUCUGCCGCCGCUUCGGUCCCAAACUGACGGCCUCCGACCCAGCUACCUCCCUGGACCGGUGACAGCCACCCUAGCUCCGCCGUGAAGGAGCGCUCUCCCCUGAAAGGUUCGACUGUCCAAAGCUUCACGUCGCCGGAACUCCCUCCUCCGGCCACCAAAACCGACGAUCCUUGGCUCGUUUUGUAGCCCUCCUCCCGUGCAGCAACCCCUCCAAACAGCUCACCCUCUCUUGAGCUAGGUAAGGAGAAAUGUGAAGUUGAAAUUCUAGAGCGUUUUUGAUGUUUCUGUUCGAUUGACAUAGCUAGGCUUGGAUUUUGGGUUUGUGCUAGUUAGGAAAGUUGUAGAGCAUGAUGAGAGGAAGAUGCUGUAAAAAUUUCAUAGGUUUUGGAGGUCGCCGGAAUCGGCCUCCGGCCGCCGGCGCCGCCGCGGUUUGGGAGAUUUUUAGGGUUUUAAAUAUGGAAUAUUAAGGGGAUUAUAUUGAUGUGAUUUAUGGAAUUUUUGGAUGAGAUUUGGAUAGGUUUGUGAAUUUCAGAAAUUUGGUAUUUUUGGCGGUUAAUUAAUGUAGAAUCUGGCUGUAGGAUUUAAGUCGUAUUUUUUGGGAGGUUGUAUUUACGACUGUCGAGUAUGAUAUUUAAGUUCGGAUCGUUUCGAUUUAAGAAUAUCAAAGUUAGGCAAUGAUGAGCGUAUUUAUGGCUCUCGAGUAAUUUUGUCUAUUUUGAUUAAAUAUUGGAUUGUUAGUUGGGAAAUUAAUAUUAUAUUUGGAACAGGACGUGAGGAGGCUCGAGCAGACGAGGCCCCAGAUCGACAUCAGGCUUAGGCCUAAUUUGUGAGUGGACUUUUGUUUUAAAUAAAAUGCAUGCUAGAGUUCAUGGUUGAACAAUAAUUGUUGCGGAAUAUUUUGACAUCAUUUUAAUUUGACGAAUUUUAUUUCUCUUGGAGAGUUACCGAAAAUGAGAUUUUCGGUGGAUAUAAAUAUGUAUUUAUGAGAGAGUAUGUAUAUAAAUGCUAGCUAGCCAUAUGUGUCUAUCCACCUUAAUGGCGUAGCAUAUAGCCGCAUUAUGAUGUGACGUGAGCGUUGGACGUGAGCGUAGUAGCCCUAUAUGAGUGUUUAAUUCACAUAAGGGGUAUGGACACAUAUUUAUACACUCGUCUGUCCACCUUAAUGGCGUAGUGUAGCACCGCAUUAAGACGUGACGUGAGCGUUGGACCCGAGCGUAGUAGCCCUAUAUAGACCCAUGAAUUUAUAUAGGGAGUAUGGACGAGUGUAAAUACAUACAUAUAUUAUAGAGUAUGAGAGGCUCGAUAUUUUAUGAGAUAAAAAGUUUUAUCGCUUGCGGCAUGCAUUCGAUUUUUCCUUAGAAAUUAAUUUGGGGAAACAUAAAUAUUUUAUUUAUUAUUUUAUUUUUGUCCACUCACUCUAACGUUAUUAAAUGUUUUCCCCUGGGCCAUUCGUUUUAAAUUGCCCAGUCUGCAGAGUUCGGGUUGGAUCUAGUAGGAAGCGAGGCAUAGUCACCCGCAUUUCCAUCAGUUUUCUUCAGUAGGUUACAUGUUUAACCUACUCGUGUUUUCUACCUUCCGCUAGUGUCUAGUAGCUCUGAAUACUUUGGAAUUAUUGUAUAUUAUGUUUAGAAUUUCUGAAGGAUAAUUAUGUGAUGUUUAGACGUGUUGUAUUAAGAGUGUAAUUUGGAAUUUUCGAGUUAGGGUUGUCCAUUUUCAAGAGAGAUUUUAUUAAUCUUUUCAGUAAAUUUUCCUUGGAGGUGGUUCCCGCACGACUUACUCUGGGUUUCAGGGUGAAAUUCAGGAUGGGUCGUGUCACAGCGUGAAUCUAAUAGACCUGCUCAUAUCCUCGCCAAACAUGCUCAAUCUUCUUGUGAGAGUCAGAUUUGGUUUGUAACUGCUCUCGUCAUGAUAAGAGUUGUCAUCUUAAACGAUUGUAAUCGUUAAUUUCACAAAUUUUUAUUUUAAAAAAAUUAAAAUUUUACUCAUUACACCUAACAUAAAGGCCCAAAGAAGAAAACCAAGCUUAUAAAUUGGACCCAACACCUAGAGCCCAAAGAAAAAACCUUUUAAACCUUUUUUAAACCCCUCAUUCAAAAAAAAAAAAAACCUUUUAAACUGUGGGACCCUUUUUUGAAAUCCGUGUGAAUAUUAGAAGCAGAGAAUAGCCAUCCAUGGCGGCAAUUUGGCGCGCCGGUCGGCGUCGCAUUAGAUUCCCCGCUCCACCGUCAGUUUCCGAUUUGAAUCUCCUCCACAGCUUUCUGAGUCGCCUCCACCUCUCACGCUGCUCUCAUUUCCUCUGAAUCACUCUCAGGGUAUGUUCGAUUCUUGUUCACACUUCACAGUGAAAGUUUAACUCAAUCAUUGGAGGGGUAUAGAACUUUGCUGUUGUUACUGUUAUCUGUAUCCGGUUGUGAAUUUUUUGAUUAAUCCCAUUGAACUGGUCAUAAAUUCCUUUUUUUUUUUUUUUUUAAUGAUCAGAGACAGGGAGGCAAGAAUUAUUGCAAGUAUUGUGUUCCAUGAUUUGAUUUUCUCCAUUAGAAAAUGAAGAGUGACUUUUAAGUCAGAUUGUAAGUUUACUAAUACAUGUUCUCUUCUUGUUUAUAUAUUCAUCAAACUAACAGGAUGAGAGGUAGGCUCUUUAAGAAAUUCAACUUGAGAAAUAAAUAGUGCCACUCUUGUAAACUAAUAUAUAUGGCUUAAUUAAUUGGUUGAUAAUCACAAUUAAAUAUAUCGCUUCGAUUACAAAAUUUGAAACUUUCAUAAUCAAAAUUAGCUGUUGUGUUCUGUUAACUGAGAUUUUCUUCUUAAAAAUUAGUACCUAAAUGCCAUUGAUGCCAAUGGGUGUAGGAACGGAUAGUGUUAGUGUUUUAUGUUCCUCCAUGUUGUUCAUGUUCAUCUUCAGCUUGUUUCCCUCACAGUAUUGGGCUGAAGUUUUUGAUAUAAGUUCUUCACAGCCAUUGGCACAGGGACAAAAUUUAGUUUCUCCUAGCCAAGUUUUUGAAUUGGGAUUCUUUACUCCUAAUUGUUCUGCUAAUAAGUAUGUGGGGUUGUGGCACAAAAGUGUUUUUCCUCGCAAAGUUUUAUGGGUGGCUAACAAAGAAAAUCCCCUUGCAGUUAAUGAUACCUUGGCUAGAUUGAGAAUUGCCAGCAAUGGGAAUCUGGAGCUCAUAGAUGGGGGGAAGAAUUCUGUCUGGUCAACCAAUAUUUCAGCUCCAUCUAAUAGUUCAUCUGCAGUUCUUUUAGACACUGGAAACUUUGUUCUCAGAGAUGAUGCUGGAGCUGAUUUGUGGGAGAGUUUUAGCUACCCUUGUGACACACUCCUACCAAGCCAGCUGCUAGGAUAUGAUAGUAAAUCUGGAAAGAGGCAGUUCUUGACUUCAUGGAAAAGUGAGAGUGAUCCAUCAACUGGAAAAUAUAUUGUUGGACUAGCCCCUCAGAUGCCAUCACAAGUUUUCAUUUGGAUUAAUGGGUCAACUCCCCACUGGAGAAGUGGGCCAUGGGAUAGAUCAAAGUUCAUUGGUGUACCAAGUAUGGAUGAUCGAUAUCAAAGUGGAUUCAGUCUAGAUGAUAAUGUGAUAAAGGGAUCCAAGUAUUUCUCUUAUAGUUUUUUUGACUAUACUAUCUCCUAUUUUAGCAUCUCUUCGGAAGGAAUAGCAGAUCUUAUGCUCUCAGAAAAUGGCAAGAACUGGUUUCUUAACUGGAAGACACCAUAUAAUCCAUGUGACAAUUAUGGAGCAUGUGGACCUUUUGGGGUUUGUAAAGCUUCUGAGUCUCAUAUCUGCAAGUGUUUGAAAGGCUAUGUACCAGAAUCAGAUGAGGAAUGGAGCAAAGGAAACUGGACAGGAGGAUGCGUAAGGCAAACCAAAUUGUUUUGUGACAGUGAGACAGGUAAGUCAGUCUCAUCAAGAACAAAACAAAAUGAUGAUGGCUUUUUGAAGAUUACAAGGUUGAAAGUACCUGAUUCUCAUGAAUUAGUUGUUACACCUUUGGAUGCUGAAAACACUUCUGAUGACUGCAAGAUACGGUGCCUGAAUAAUUGUUCUUGCCUCGCUUAUGCAUUUGUUAAUAAAUUAGGGUGCUUGGUCUGGUCCAAAGACCUUAUUGAUAUGCAGCAGUUUUCCUCUGGUGGAGAAGAUCUUUAUAUUCGCCUAGCACACGCAGAACUAGGUAAAUAAAAUCUUUUUGUUGCAUAACUCAUUUUAGCAGCAUGUUUGUUUUUAUCUCAUGCUCACCUUUGUAAUGGAAAUUCCUGUUUUUCUCAGAUGAAGGAAAGCCAAUAAAGUUAAUUGCCAGUCUUAUAGCUGUUUGUUCUGUUAGCAUCGUGGUUGCCAUAGUGUUUGGUUGGCACAGGUUGGGAGCAGCUAACCGAAAGGGUAAGAGAAUCAGAUGUGAGGGGGUUCUGCCUUUCCCAUUCUGAUGCAGCAAUCAAAAUAUUAUGAAUUUGAUUAACUGACAUCUUUACUGUUUGAUAGCCACAACUUGUUUUGGUUUUGCUCUGAUACAGUGUUUGAUGAUUACAUUUUCAGAAUCAGGGGACAUCAAGACAACAAGACAUUAUUUCGGGUCGAUUAAUACAUUUCAGUCUUCAAGAGACGCUCUUCGGGAAUAUAUAGGAAAGCAUGAUCUAUCAGAGCUUUUGAUCUAUGAUUUUGAAACCAUAUUAGUAGCUACAAAAAAUUUCUGCAUCACAAACAAACUAGGGCAGGGUGGCUUUGGUCCAGUUUAUAAGGUAAUUUUAUUAUCUAAAGAGUAAUUCAGCCUUGCAACAAGUACAUGAAUCAGACAUGAAUGCAAUGAUUAAUUUCUGGACCUCGUGUAGGGUAUGCUAGAAGAAGGCAAGGAAAUAGCAGUGAAAAGGCUAUCUAGUAGCUCAGGACAGGGCAUUGACGAGUUCAAGAAUGAAAUGUUGUUGAUCUCAAAUCUUCAACACAAAAAUCUUGUUAGGAUCAUGGGUUGCUGCAUCAAAGAAGAUGAGAAGUUACUGAUUUAUGAGUUCAUGCCUAACAAAAGCCUGGAUACUUUUCUAUUCGGUUAGUUUCAGUGCUCUUUAUGUUUGGCUGCAGUUACUUAUCUUGUGCUAUCUUGUUCUUUCAGUAGACAGACCUUGAUGACUCUUAUUCAAGUAAACUAAAAUGCCUGCCUUUUCCUUUUCUUUUUUUUGAACAGUAAGUAAAGAAGAAGAAUUCAGUCAAGCAAGAUGUAAAAUAGAAAUGCCUGCUAACAUUAAGCUACAAAUAUAUUUACAAGAACUGAAUUACCAGUAACAACGAUGACUGAAUCACUUUCUGAUCUAUCACAAAGAAUUUAGUCAUUGAUCCUAAUGCACAAAAAAACUGCGCCUACACUAGACCCUGCAAAUUUGAUGCUCUCAACUGUUAAUGCUUCAUUGUGUCUGUGAAAUGCCUAUGUAUGUUCAGUUCAGUUGUCUAUAUUGUACAUUCACAACUGUGCUGGUAAUUCUGGCCCCCUUGCUAGUCUUGAGCUUUGUGUAGUUUAAACUUUUAACGAUUACAAAAAGGUAAUUUCAAUGGAACAGUAAAUGAGAUAGUUUAUAUUCUAAUAGUAUUGAUCAUCUGAUUAGAUCCAACAAGAAGAGCAGUGCUUGAUUGGGCCAGCCGCUUUAAUAUUAUUCAAGGGGUUGCUAGAGGGCUAGUUUAUCUCCAUCAUGAUUCCUAUUUGAAGGUAAUACAUAGAGAUCUGAAAGUAAGCAACAUUCUCUUGGAUGAGAAAAUGAACCCAAAAAUCUCAGAUUUUGGAUUGGCACGCAUAGUUGAAGGAACGCAGAAUUUAGAAAAUACUCUGAAGGUUGUGGGAACACGGUAUGAAUCAUUUCUUUCUAGUUUUCUUGCAUGGUGUCGGGAGAGAUAAUGUACUAGUAAACUGGCAUGUUUGACUGCAGAUUAGUAGCUUGAAAGUCAGAAACCAGAAGAAGCAAUUCUGCAGCUAUAUACUAAUUAGUUUGUUGUGCAGUGGCUAUAUGUCUCCGGAGUAUGCCAUGGGCGGGAUAUUUUCUGAAAAAUCUGAUGUAUACAGUUUCGGUGUCUUGAUAUUGGAGAUUAUUAGUGGCAAGAAGAAUGCCAGCUUCUGUUUAUAUGACCAACAGCUAGGCUUUCUAGCUUAUGUAAGUUUCAUACUUUUAUCUCCUAAUGUAAAAUCAUGAGUUUCUGAGCACUGCCUUUCAUACAUUCCUGUAACCAUAUAUAUGAAGCUUAAUUAAUGUGAAGCUAAAUGUUUUCAGGCAUGGAACUUGUGGAAUGAAGGCAGGGGACUGGAGUUACUGGACGAAGUAUUAGGUGAUUCAUAUGCAUCGUCAGAAGUAAUGAAAUGUGUAAAUAUUGGGCUUCUUUGUGUACAGGACAGUGCUGCUGAUAGACCAACUGUGGCUGAUAUAGUUUUGAUGCUAAGUAGUGACACGGAUGGUCCACAACCCAAGCUGCCUGUAUUCACUAUCCAGAACUCAUUCUCAUCUCCUCAACCUCAAUAUCCAAAUACUUUCUGCUCAAAUGAUGCUACCAUUACAGUGAUCGAAGGACGAUAAGCCCUUGCAGAAUGCUCAUCAGUAUGUAUAGCGCAGCUUGUUUUGUAAUUGAAAGGAAAAGC
rnacentral:lncRNA from 1 species